ACUCUCUUUCCUUUCAUCUCUUAUCUUUUGUGUCUCUGAAACAGAAGAAAACCCUAUCUCUUAUAUGAAAAAAAAAACUCCAUUAAAUCUAUGGAUCCAAAGAAGAAAGACAUAAACAGAUGGAGAAAAUCAUUUCCUCCAUUUCCUCCUCUUUUCUAGUCCAUUCUCUUUCUGAUGUGAUGACUUGAAGGGUUUGAGAGAUGAGAUUAAGAUUCGGUUUGAGAGAAUCAAUUGAUGUGGGUAUGUACAUGUUGAAGUGAUGGUGCUGCUGUGAACCAUGGAAGAGAACUACUAGGGAUAGUUAUAGAUUCGUGAUGAACAGAGAGAAGCAGUUAGGGUUUUGAAUCUGACUUUUGAAUUGGAUGAAAUCGAUUCGUAAAUCGAGUAUUAAUUGAUGAAGAAAUAAAAGGGUAUUGUUUAAUUUUAGUUGUGGAAAUGUUUUUAGAUGGAGAAUCAAAGAAUUAGGGUUUUGAUUUUUACGCCUGGAAUCAAGAUAAGAAUCGAGAUUUUGUUACAGGGGAAGGUAAUUAACAUGGUAAGACUGCGGACGAUCUCUCCUGCAAUUUCUCCUUUGGGGAUCGAUAUAAGGCUUGAGCUGAGAACUGGUGCUCAAGAAGAUGUAACUGAUGAUUAUGGAGCAACACUGUCCACUGAAGUGCCAGCAUGGAGCAGCAGAGUUGUGUUGAUGGAGGUUGAUGUUGCUGUGUUGAGUUUUGUUUAGGUUUUUUGUUAUUCAAUGUGUUUAGAGAUUAGGGUUCUUAUCAGGAUUUGAAAUUGUUGAGUUCCCAGUGAUGAUUAACUACCAUGCUAAUUCUGAGAUUCCUUUCAGUCUCAAUGAAGUGAAUCUUUUGUUUAUCCAGAACAUCUGAGGGAACUAUAUAUUUUUCAUUCAAUGGCCUAGGGUUCCAUUCGAUCUCUUAUAUGUUUUGUUGAUUUCUUAUUUCUUUUGUGUUCGAUUCAGUUUCUAUUGAGUUUUCGUUUGUGAACAAAAUCUCUUAUAUAUUUUGUUCACAGUGGAUGAUUUCUUUAUUAUUUAGAUUAAGGUCAACUCUUUUGUUAUCAUCGAAUGAUUGAAUCUGUAAUGAUACCAGAAUUGAUCUUCAUCUGAACGAUGAAGAUUGUACUUCAGAAAAUUGUGCUUCUGCUCGUCUCUAGAAUGUGGGCUUGGUUUAUUGUGUGAUUUCCAUUGCUAGGGUUUUUAAUCUGCGUUGUUUGAAUAUUUAGUAUGUUAACGAAUUGAUUGAAGUAUGGGUCUGUAUUAGAGGGAUAGAAGAAGAAGAUGGAGCUGGUGAGAUAGGAGGAAGUUGGUGGAUUGUUUUACAGGGGUUUGAAUUGGAUGUGUAUUCUCAGCAGCGGGGUUCGAUUUCAUGAGGUUUUCGUCAUGCUUUUGCUGGUGUUACGGCCAUGGUUCGAUGGCAGGCUAAAGUGUCUACUGCUGCUUUGAUCUGCAGAAUCGUAUUUUGGGACGUCCUAGUUGGGACUUGAUUGAGAAGCUGUGAAGAUUAUGGGGCAUCUGGUGCAGUUUUCUUUUUCUUCAGGUGAUUUCAAACCAACUUCAGGUGAAAAACAUUCAACUUAUUGGCUUUGUUCUCUUUAUUUUAAUCCGUUACAAUUAUUUGGAAAAUUUUAUGUUGGUUAGUUGCAACAAUGUAAGGACCAGUUUUUUUAUAAUCAAUUUGUUAUGUACCUUGUUUCUAUUUCUUUAUCAUUGAUUGUAUACUUUUGGUUCAGGUUCAUUAUCUGAUGUGCGCAACAGCCGGACCAUUAGUAGCUGCAGCAACCACUUUGUUUGCGGCAGGUUUAGGCUUUUCCUUCCCAGCAUCAGUUGUGGUAAGCAUAACCAUGUCAGCUGUGACAACACUCAAUUUUUCUUGUAUACGUUUUCGAGCUGCUUCCAAUGAUGUAUCAGUAGCCCACCGAACAUCAUCAUCUUCCUCCUCAUGUGCAACAUUGUCAUCAGCAGCCUUGCCUUCUUUUAGCCUUUCUUUCUCAGCCCUCCGCAUUGCCUUAUCCGUUCUUCUUCUCAGGAGGAUUCUUCACUAUGGAAGCUGUGAGCUUGUCCCUCAUGUCAACAUCAGAAACAAAACCACAGGCAGCAUAUUUCAGUUCUAUCAUCUUGGUUUUGGAGAUGAUAACCUCAGUCUCAGUGUUCCCAUAUCCAUAACACUGGAAAAAUUUCUUAAUGAAGUUUUCAAGCAAACCUGCAAGCCUAACAGCAUCGUGGGAACCAUUCACAAGAGCAAUUCCAGUCUUUUCACCACAAGAGGGCAUUGGUUGAGUCUUCCCAGAUUCGCGUGUUUGGUUUGCCAGUCAGGCCCUCGUUUUGUCGGCUUGUAAAGAAAACUGCAAGAUCUCUCGGCUAAGUACUAUUCAAUGCAGAACUUGGUAAACCAAUUGGACAGAUCAUCAUCAUAUGUGGCUGGAACAAAAUCUUAACUUCUACAUUAGAAACUGGUCCAUGGAACGUCCCAGUAAAGGUAAUUCACCUGUUCUGUAUAUUUAACUAUGUAGUCAAGUGGGUUGGUUUUUUGACAAAAUCACUUUUAGAUGCUUUUACUGGAGUCGAUAACAGUUUUCUUUGUUUAUGGUGCUUCCAUGUUCUGUAAUCCUAUGAAGUUCUGUAAAACUGAUCUUCUGUAGUAACAAACAAUAGUGAUUAUAAUUGGAAACCUGAUCUUGUUUUCAAA